GGUUCCUCAUUUUUUUACCUGCUGGUUCUAAAGACAAUAGUAAAGAUAUUUCCAGUUACUGAAUGUUUUGGUUGAUUUCUAAAAAAAUAGUUUAUGUAUCAAAUAUGCAUAUUCAAUUUACCAUUUUCUGCAUGUGUCAUAUACAAAUAUAGUGUCCAUAUUUGUCCCCAAUAUGUUACAUACGAGGGGAUGCCACGCUCGGCAUUGCCUUGUUUGAACUGUAAAAUGUGUUCACUAGUCUGAAUAAUCACCCAUAAUUAUGCC
rnacentral:lncRNA from 1 species